rnacentral:rRNA from 1 species
UACGAGGGGGGCGAGCGUUGUUCGGAAUUACUGGGCGUAAAGGGCUCGUAGGCGGCCAACUAAGUCGGACGUGAAAUCCCCAGGCUCAACCUGGGAACUGCGUCCGAUACUGGAUGGCUUGAAUUCGGGAGAGGGAUGCAGAAUUCCAGGUGUAGCGGUGAAAUGCGUAGAUAUCUGGAGGAAUACCGGUGGCGAAGGCGGCAUCCUGGACCGACAUUGACGCUGAGGAGCGAAAGCUAGGGGAGCAAACGGG